UACGUAGGCAGCAAGCGUUGUUCGGAGUUACUGGGCGUAAAGGGUGUGUAGGCGGUUAUUUAAGUUUGGUGUGAAAUCUCCCGGCUCAACCGGGAGGGUGCGCCGAAUACUGAAUGACUUGGAGUGCGGGAGAGGAAAGUGGAAUUCCUGGUGUAGCGGUGAAAUGCGCAGAUAUCAGGAAGAACACCAGUGGCGAAGGCGGCUCACUGGAUCGGUACUGACGCUGAGGUGCGAAAGCGUGGGGAGCAAACAGGAUUAGA
rnacentral:rRNA from 1 species